UACGUAGGGUGCGAGCGUUGUCCGGAAUUACUGGGCGUAAAGGGCUCGUAGGCGGCCAACUAAGUCAUACGUGAAAUCCCUCGGCUUAACCGGGGAACUGCGUCUGAUACUGGAUGGCUUGAGUUCGGGAGAGGGAUGCGGAAUUCCAGGUGUAGCGGUGAAAUGCGUAGAUAUCUGGAGGAACACCGGUGGCGAAGGCGGCAUCCUGGACCGAUACUGACGCUGAGGAGCGAAAGCCAGGGGGAGCAAACGGGG
rnacentral:rRNA from 1 species